GCCCAGGUGGCGGAAUUGGUAGACGCGCAAGUUUCAGGUACUUGUGGCCGCAAGGUCGUGGAAGUUCGAGUCUUCUCCUGGGCACCA
rnacentral:tRNA from 1 species